UCCUGUUUGUUGCCCAUGUUGCGUGCACUGGUGUAGAUGCACUUCAGCUGAGCCCCUUGCCUCACCCCUAAACCCAUCAUCCUUCCUCUGAGCUCAUCUCUAGUAGGCCUGGUAUUAUCCCCUUCCCACUUCAUACCUAGUUUAAAGCCCUCUGAACAAGCUCUGCCAUCUCCUGGACAGAUCCUUUUCCUCCUUUGGGACAGGAGAGACACAUCAGCAGCCAACAGAUCAGUUCAAAUAUCGUCAACAACCAACAUUCACUACGGUUGGCUGCAGAACAAUGCAAGUGUUCAGAGAAGUCAAAGACCUGUACAUUCAUCUCAAAGGAUGAGGGUAGAAAGGCUACAGGGUGCUAAAAUGUGAGAAAAAUUAAAGAAGGUCUAAAGCGUAAUAAUUUCCUAUCAUAAAAAUGACUAAAAACAGUGUUUAUUCAUAGACAUCUAUAUAUAAAAAACAAAACAAAAACAAACAAACAAACAAAAAAACCAAAACCAUCAUGUGAAAAGGAAGAAGAAGAGAAACAGUGGGAGAGAAAACUAUAUCUUCAGUAUUUUAAAAUUCAGGGAAGACAUUUUCUAAUGAAUUACCACAGGAGCAGAAUUUAUAAUAUUAAACAAAAGGAAGAUUGUGGGAUGUAUUUCUCUGUGUUAUAACUUCGUAGAAGA